rnacentral:tRNA from 2 species
GAGUAAGUAGCUCAGUUGGUAGAGCGGGUGUAAAACACCGCGUCUCUGGUUCGAGUCCAGAAUUACACGCCG